rnacentral:rRNA from 1 species
AGUGGCGAACGGGUGAGUAACACGUAAGCAACCUGCCUUUAAGACGAGAAUAACAAUUGGAAACAGUUGCUAAGGCUGGAUAGGAAAUAAAAAGGCAUCUUUUUAUUUUUAAAAGACCUUCUUCGGAGGGUAUGCUUAAAGAGGGGCUUGCGUCACAUUAGUUAGUUGGUAGGGUAAUGGCCUACCAAGACGAUGAUGUGUAGCUGGACUGAGAGGUUGAACAGCCACAUUGGGACUGAGACACGGCCCAAACUCCUACGGGAGGCAGCAGUAGGGAAUUUUCGGCAAUGGAGGAAACUCUGACCGAGCAACGCCGCGUGAACGACGAAGUACUUCGGUAUGUAAAGUUCUUUUAUUGAAGAAGAAACAAUAGUGGAAAAACUAUCUUGACGUUAUUCAAUGAAUAAGCCCCGGCUAACUAUGUGCCAGCAGCCGCGGUAAUACAUAGGGGGCGAGCGUUAUCCGGAAUUAUUGGGCGUAAAGGGUGCGUAGGCGGUUUAAUAAGUCUCUAGUUUAAUUUCAACGCUUAACGUUGUCCUGCUAGAGAAACUGUUUGACUAGAGUGAGAUAGAGGUAAGCGGAAUUCCAUGUGUAGCGGUAAAAUGUGUAAAUAUAUGGAGGAACACCAGAGGCGUAGGCGGCUUACUGGGUCUUUACUGACGCUGAUGCACGAAAGCGUGGGGAGCAAACAGGAUUAGAUACCCUGGUAGUCCACGCCGUAAACUAUGAGUACUAAGUGUCGGGGUUAAACUCGGUACUGAAGUUAACACAUUAAGUACUCCGCCUGAGUAGUACGUACGCAAGUAUGAAACUUAAAGGAAUUGACGGGAUCCCGCACAAGCGGUGGAUCAUGUUGUUUAAUUCGAAGAUACACGAAAAACCUUACCAGGUCUUGACAUACUCUGCAAAACUAUAGAAAUAUAGUGGAGGUUAUCAGGGAUACAGGUGGUGCAUGGUUGUCGUCAGCUCGUGUCGUGAGAUGUUAGGUUAAGUUCUAAAACGAGCGCAACCCCUGUCGUUAAUUGCCAGCACGUUAUGGUGGGGACUUUAGCGAGACUGCCAAUGAAAAAUUGGAGGAAGGUGGGGAUUACGUCAAAUCAUCAUGCCCCUUAUGAUCUGGGCUACAAACGUGAUACAAUGGCUAUUACAAAGAGUAGCUUAAACGCGAGUUUUUGGCAAAUCUCAAAAAAAUAGUCUUAGUUCGGAUUGAAGUCUGCAACUCGACUUCAUGAAGUUGGAAUCGCUAGUAAUCGCGAAUCAGCAUGUCGCGGUGAAUACGUUCUCGGGGUUUGUACACACCGCCCGUCAAA